AGUCAUAGCUCAGCUGGAUAGAGCAUCAGGCUUCGAACCUGAGGGUCGGGGGUUCGAAUCCCUCUGACU
rnacentral:tRNA from 1 species